UACGAAGGGAGCUAGCGUUGUUCGGAAUCACUGGGCGUAAAGCGCACGUAGGCGGAUUGUUUAGUCAGGGGUGAAAUCCCGGGGCUCAACCUCGGAACUGCCUCUGAUACUGGCAAUCUCGAGUCCGAUAGAGGUGGGUGGAAUUCCUAGUGUAGAGGUGAAAUUCGUAGAUAUUAGGAAGAACACCGGUGGCGAAGGCGGCCCACUGGAUCGGUACUGACGCUGAGGUGCGAAAGCCAGGGGAGCAAACGGG
rnacentral:rRNA from 1 species